AGUCGGCUUCCCCCGAUUUUAGCGAACUCUGCGCGUCCUUUCCGCCAGGUGUGCCCCGGGGUGGCGCGGCUGAGGGCGAGGGAGCGCGGCGGGAGGUGCGAAGGCGGCGGGACUGGAAGCUGAGGCGAAACCCCCUCGGUGCCGGCACCGUCGAGGGACAAAGGCGGGUCCCCUAGACCAGGGAAGGAGAACUGAGCGGUGGAGAGACGUGGACGGACGGGAUCAUUUGUGAUGUCGAAGGGCUCUGAGCUACUUCAAGAAUUACCUUAUCCUGGCUUCUUUAGGAGUGUUAUCUUGGUUUCUACCAGGCACCCUGAAGUUCCUCUGAUCUUCCAAAAAUGGGAGGAGAGACACUGAGGCUGUAUUUCAAGUCACCAUAUUCCUAGUGAAGAACUAACAGAAAAACCUGGCAAGAGUUACUGGCUGACCACGCUGAUCCUCCAUUAUAGAAGAAAAUGCAUCCCUCAGCAUAGUCCCUCUUCCAGGAAGUCCCUGCACAGUGAUCCUACAGUGUCCUGUCUGCAGCUGCUCUUUCUUAGCCUGCAAAGAAUCCUCUGAGCAUCACCCCCCUUUAUUUGUGACUGCACGCCUCAGAAAAGCGUCCUCAAAAGAUGUCCAGUCCUUCCUGUUUACCCAGGGCAGAACUGGAAUUGUCCCCUGUGCCGUGCCAUGGAGCUGUGAGGUCACUGUGUCGUGUAGGAGAUUUUUCUAGAGGACAUGAGAAGAGAUGAAAGAACAACCUCAUUUAAUCAGCUUACACAAAGAUUAGGCUGGAGGGGCUGCUAUCCGUGUAACUUGCUGACAUGAGUCCCCCGAGACGCUGGAUCUGUCUGCACGCCGUGGGUACACACCGGAGACGAGCCCUUUCACAGCUAAUCUCCUUCCAGAAGUCCUUCUCUAGUGCACAAAAGGCUGUUCCUGCCCCAACGUGGCUGAGAUGCAGAAGGACACAAUACCAGGGAUUUUGCCUCUUCCUCGGUUCAGGAAGAUUUCAUCCCUGCACGUAUACCAAAAGAGGACAAGAAAUGAUUUUCCCAGUUCUCAAACAGCAGCUUUUACUUCAUAUUUGCCUUCAAGAGGGAGCAACUUUGUUGUGCUCUGGCUGUACAAGAGCUGUACAGCCUUUGACAUAAAUCUGCUGUUGCUGGGAACUGGGAAGAAUGUCCUUGCAAAGGAAAUUGUUCUGCGAACCAUUGAUCUGUGUGCAGAAUUCAAGGACCUGUUCCCUUGUCCUGCUCCACCUGUGUGACCACACCAGCUGCAAGACAUGAUCUAGUUAUGACUGAGAAUCUGCCUGACCCUGCUGGGGUAGCUGACUUAUUCUAACUCUGCCUUCUCCAAGUUACUGCUCUUCGUGCAAAAGUCAGGAAAAAGAAGAAAUCUGGAUGUCCACACUACCAGCACAGGUAUAAUUUUAAUUUGAAAUUGUAAGCCUUUUCACUGGUAUGGCCUCUAUUCUGUCCCUUUGGCUACAGAUAUCUUGGUUUGGCUUGGCUGUUCUAUAUUCCACUGGAUGCAAAUAAUUAAAACUUGUAUAAUUCUGAGAAUGUUAAUUUUGUUCAGAACAUCAGACUCUGCUUUUGCUUCCUUUCCUCCGUUCUCUUUGGUGAAAUUUGUAGGCAGACUGGGAUACAGGAUUCAUUGUGGAAUACUGAGAAAUGUCACAUAAUUUAAACUAAAGCUCUUCCUUGAGCUAAAGGUACCUUAGCUAACCAAAAUAUGUAAGUCAGGAAUCUGCUAGGAUGCUUUGUGUCAGAUCCAGCUUGGCCUUGCUCUGAAACAAUAACCAUAAAGGUGAAAAGCAAGACCCAUUAACCAUCAGGAAAUGGAAUCUCACAGAUAGAGGCUAAAAUUUUUUAAUGUUUACAAGCACAUUGAAAUUUGUAAAAUGCUCUGUCAGAUGGCACAGCACAAAUAUCCAUUAGAAACCAUAAUAAAUCUUCUCUUCAAUGAAUUUCAAAUAUUGCAGUCCUAUGUUAACACAUCAUUUAUCCCUCCAUAUAACAUUGCAACCCAAAAUGUCUUCCUGGUGAGACAGUUGUGAACUUUAUCUUUUUUUUGUCUAUCUAUUAAAUUCAUGAUAUUAGACUCUCAUGGAAUAGUUAUAAACAAAUUCAUAACACUAUUUGCCUGAAUUAUUCAUUUGCUGUGUGAUUGCAAUGAUUUCAGGUCAAAGGUCAUAAUGCUUAAUUAUAUUUCUAGCAGUUCUUAAAAAUAAUUGGAUUAGAAAUCAUGCACCGAGAUGCUACUUAUUAUUCUUAACAGUUCAGGACUUAUUUAAGUGUUUUAAUCAAGCUGUAAAUGAUGUAUAUCUCAGACUACUUUCUUUCCUGGAUUUUGAAUCACAGUUUGUAAGCACUCGAGCACAAACCUUUUCAUUAGGCAAAACAAAUUUUUGUAGCAUUUUGCCUUUCUGGUUCCUCACAGCAGGACAUAAACCCCAGCCAGCAACGUUAGAGGCAAAGCCACACUAUGCUGCCUAAAUAAAUAUCCAGAAUUAGCGCAUCAGUGAACUAAUGCCACCAGAAUUAAUCUCAUACACCUGCAGAAUGUCUUGCCCAAAUCACUCUUAAUUGAUUGCCAUUGGUAUUUGUCUGAGUUGCUAAUGGAAAUCCAGUUUUUAGUGAGGCAAACAGUCUGCUGUGUAUUUUCAUUAGACUUCCCGUGCCUGUAUUGUACUGCACCUGCCUGCUCCCAAAAUGCUGGUUAUAGCUGUCAUAUACUUUUAUGAGGAUGGGAGCAAUGUUCUGGCAAGCUAACUUGACUCAAAUUGUGUUGGGAUAUAAAACAUGAAGACCCACUUGUGAUUGCAAAGGUAGUAAGUCUAAUUUGAUUAGGGCUGCGGUGACAUGGCACAUUAUGGACCUCAUUUGUCAUUCCUCAUAAGUGCUCGUGAAAGGAUCGUUCUGAGAGGAGGCACAAUUGGAACCCAGGAACACAUUCAGCACCUCUCGUGCUCAGGGGAAGGGCAGGGAAAUGGCAGCAGAGCCUGAUCAAUAUUGGCUUUAAAAUAAGAAGAAACAGGAAAGGCAAUAACCAGGAGUUCCUACCUUUUGAAAUGAGGGAAAAGUUUUCAGAGGGAGUAUGACUUUCUCUUUAAGAUUUGUGUUGCUGAGCCUCAGCUAUUAAAAACUCCACAAUUUCAAGCCUUAGAACUCUGUUGUUAAAUAACUGGGCCUUGUUUUCUAAAAAUGUUCUAAAAAACCCUUCCAUGAGUUGCUAAGCAACUGGGCUUGGAGAAAAAGGCCAGAUCCUCAGUUUAUGUGAAGGGGAAAAUUUCUAGGUAUAUGUGUGAAUAUAGUAUCCUCUCCAUUCUUCAAAGCUGGGGAUCAGGUUAGGGGCUAUUGGGCAGAUUUGGUUGUGGACAGACAAUUCAGCUGAUUAAAUGAUUUUACAGAGAUGGCAAACAUUAAACAUUUUGGCAACAUCAGUACGAUAACAAAAAUAUCUCCUGUGGAAAAUUGCAAAGGUUUUAAAUUUUUCUGUCUCUAUUUUCCAGAAUCCAGCUGGAAUACGUGUUUGAAAUUAUUUGGUCUCUGCUUUUUAGCUUUUAGGUGUCUUAGUAUACAAAUAUUGCUGAAAGGAUUCAUUAGAAGGCUAUGAAUACUGGGGGAAGGAGUAGAGUGGAAAAAGGCCUCUUUUCCUCUUUUUUUUUUCCUGGAAUAUUCUCUCUCUCUUGUCAAAAAACAUGACUCAGGUUGGUGUUAAGGUAAGGGCUAGUGUGACCUCAAAAAGAAAGUGUGAUUGAUAUUAAUUACAUAAUUAAUUUCAUAAGCACGGUAUAUUUAUGUUUCCUACUACUGCACCUGGGAAGAUGGAAGACUAAUAUAAAGAGAAACCAGGAAUAUAAUUCACCUGAAAUAUGAGACUAAAUUAACAAAUAGAGGUGGACUUUGCAAGAGGGAAUUGGACACCAAAACUAUCUUUGGACACCAAACUAUCUUUGAGUUCACUUCUGAAAUAGUUGGAAUAUCUGCCACUGGACUUUUGUGAAAAUAUUAAAUUUUCCAGGAAAUUUGGGCUCUGAUUCAAUUUUCAAAUGGGAUUUUUGUAAUAAUUUAAAGUUAUUUAAACUGUUAAAAAAAUUUAUCAUGUAUAAAUACAUUUUUCUUCAUCAUGGUAAAUAUGGACACUGGUAUUUAGAUUUCUGUAUUUUGGGAUAACCUAGAGAUUAAAUGUAUACAGUGAGGUCAUUGUAUUCUUUUGUCUGAAUAUUUUUCAAGUAUUUUUUUUCCUAGAAAAUGCCCUUGCACAAAUAACUUGGCUUAUAGAUAACUGUUUGGAAAUGUCAAAAAGGGCUCCCUGGACCUGGCAGCUCUAAACUGGAUGAAGAACUAUGUCAAGGGAGGGAAAGAGAAAAGGUCUCCAGUAAUUUCCAGUAUAACAAAUAUUUUUUGGUGAAUUUCUCCUGCAGGCAAUGUGUGUAAAUAUAAUACACAGUGCUGCUGAAUUAGAGUUACUUUGAGAAAUAACUUGUAGGAUACAUGAAUGGAAAAAUAAAAAUGUGGUAUUUAGUGUGUGGGUAAAAACGUGGUAUUUGGGCUGUCUCCAGCAGCUUCGUGUUCCCUCACUAAGAGCUCUCCUCUGUCUGUUCAGUCCCUCUGUCCUGCUUCCAUUAGAUCUCUUGCAAGGAUCAUGCUUAAAAGUUGAGUUUUGGUGAAGAAAAAGCAGAAAACAGUAUUAUCAAUAUGAGGUAAGUGUUCAAUUCAUCUUUCAGUGGCCACUGGUAGAAAAACAACCUUAAUUCUUCAAAAUCCAAUUGAGGUAUAUAUGUUUUUUUAAAUAAAUAAGUCAUACUGGAUAUUUUCAGGAGACUAUAACACUUUUUGAAGCCUCGUGACAUGCAUUUUAAUUAUCACCUCCCAUCUAGUGUGUUGAAUGUUUUUAGGCUUGUUCAGUGCAUUAAAGCAGCAACUAUGUUAAUAAAUUCUUGUCACUGAUUGAUAUUAAAUGACACGUAGCAAACAGUCCAUCUGUCUCUGUUCUAUCGUUCCGUGCCUUCUUUCAUGUUUCCAUUACAAAUUCUGUAAUAAAUAGUCUGAUCAUUUUGAGUGACAUUUGGGAUCUUUAUUGGACAAGACAUUUCAAGUACAUCUGUCUUCUGACUGGUUUAUAGCUGACAGUUCUAACAACAGCUAUUACCUUCCAAAAGGCUGCAUUCAAAGUGUUCUAAGUGAUCUCCAUAUUCCCCUUCCUGAUUUUCUUUCUGGUUUCAAGGGUGCAUGUUGCUGACAUUUCUAGCCUGUGUACUUUUUAAAUUCAGACACUUCCUCUGUGAUGAUGAUUUUAUCACUGUUAUGCUGAGUCAGGCUGUAUCUGCCUCACUGUAAAUCUUACUCCUAGUCUCUUUUAUCUGAUCCUGUUGCUGUCCUCUGUUAACCAUAUCACUCUGGCCCCUUUAUAUCUUGGUGGGUGUAGACUUUCUAAGUACUCAAACUUUACAACUUCUCUAAUAUACGAAGUCCCUGGAAGCCCAGAGCAGAACAAUUGAAAGUACCAGCUCAGCAAAAGAGUGUUUGACAUGUCUGAUUCACAAGUUAUUACUGGCAUGCUCUAGUUGUUCUUAUCUCAAGUUGCUGUGAAAUUUCUGUGGAAUUAUUGUCAAAUCUGAUGGCUGAACUAUCAAGUCAUGAAGGGGUUGGGUUUUUUUCUUAUUAUAUAAGACAUUCAAGACUUUUCUUCCUUCAGUUACUAUCCCACUCAUCUUCACUAUUUUUAAUAAAUCCUGUUUGGGUGGCCACAGCACUUGCCUUUGUCUUAUCUUCUCAUUCCCUGGUGCUGGGAGGUGGCAACUUGCAAGGAGUCAUACUGCUGAGAUAAGUCUGACACAUAAAAUUAUUUGACUUGACAAUAAUCCUCUCUUAUGUGAAAACCAAACCUUAAUACUCUUGUGAGGAUCCGCUGGAUUAAUUUCCUCUAUCUGCAUGAGCAGAGGCACCGGCCUGUGCACAGCAAAGCCGGAGAAACGCCUCCAGCUCCGGUGCCUCUCACCAGAGCUCUGUGCCCUGUCACUCCUUCUGGGGGUUUUGCUAUAUAUAAACCAUAUAUAAACUCCUGAGUUAGGAGAUAAUGGGUACAGGUGAGGAGGUAUCUCUUGAAAUCCUGUGAAUUCUACGUUAAGUGCAACAGCACGUGAAGAUCUUUGUAGAGCAUCCAGGCCUCCUUUCUUGCUUACUUUGUUUUAAGAGUUUCUUUGAGCUUGCUUUAAAUGAGAAGUAAAUUUUGCACUCAAGGUGAACAGUAAUAAUUAAAAAAACAGCCUUUGUCAUAGAGAAAGUUUGACUGAAAUUAAUUUUAUUUUGGAUAUGUGGAAGUAAAAAUAAGAGUCCUUACCUGUUUUCCCUGCUGUAUGUCAGCACAUUUAGUCCAAAAGUGAGGAAUAGUAAUUGUUAGUGACUAAACUGUAGCGUGAUAUAUUAUGUUCUGAGGUUGUACUUCUCCACUUUAAAUAUGAAUAUUUCAUCAUUACUACACUUUAUUUUCAACUCUUCUGGGGAAUGCAGCAUCAUACAUUUUUAAUUGUUCAGCCAGACACUUUCCACAAACACACACGAAUUUUAAUGGUGUAUCUUCUUGUUUCAGAGACGCCCUGGGCUGGAGGAUUGGGUGAUUUGAGGGGCCAGGCAGUGUCUUGAGAGCUUUUCACCUGAGCACCCGCUCCCAGCGCCACUGGAAGCACUGGCAGAAGGUUGGAAGGAGCCAUGACUCCAGGUCUGUCCCUGGGAGGUAACAGAAUUUCUUGCCAAAAUACUUCUGGAGCCAGGAUUUUGUCUUGUAGAACGGGGGAGGAGUUCCCAGGCAUGGUCUGACUGUGCUGGAACAAGAUCAAGCCCGGGAGGUUGGAUUCCCCUGAGUGCAGGAUGCACAAUUGUUUCAGAAAGAACCUGGUCUAAAGUUAAGGCUACCAUAGACCAGUUCAUUUGAAAUAUCCAAGUCCCUAAAAGAUUACAGAAAUAUGAAGAGUGUAAGCAGAUCGAUUUCUGAAGGUCUAAUGAUAAGGCUUUGCAAGAUGGAAAAAGCUGAAAAUGGACCUGAGGGCGAGCACAAAAGGAAAUGCAACAUGGUGCUUCCAAAAGCAAUCGGUCAGGAGAGAAUUAUUGCAAACCUGGGCCCUUCGUGGGAGGAAGCUGCACAGGAGGCAGAAAUGACUGAAAUGGCCUAGAGAUGACAGUGCCUGUAAAAAUAUAGUGAGUGCUAACGAUGCAGGACAGAGGGGGAAAUGCAAACACGCCACCUUAUGGAUCAACAAAUGGACAGGCCCUGUGUUUGGGGCACCACUGAGACCAGCUGCAAGUGCCUCGUUGGCAGAUGUUAGUGGGAAGGAGAAAGACCCUGUUUUUUAAGGUUUUUCCAUGCUGGGAAGGUGCUGCCGUUUGAGACUGCUGGGUUCUCUACAGCACAUAUCAGAUGUGAAAGACAUACACAAAAGCACUUCAGGCUUCUUGGACACAGUUUUCAUAGGGUUUCAAAAAUCCCUCCCUACUGACUGGUCAGAAAUUAUGAAGUGAACUGCAGACAAAGAAAUGGAUUUUUUGUCAGUGAUUGCUCACAAUCUGGAUAUUACAGCAAUUUCAGAGUCACCUGGAGGAGUCUGAAACCAUUCUGUCCACCCUUGGCAAGGAAAGAUUGUGUCCCAGACCUUAAACUAGAAGCUCUUCCAAAGGAACUGCUGGAUUGCUCCUGUAACGACUAUUUUCUCGAUAAUGGGGAGAUUCUCAGUGUGGGAAGGAGAAGCCGAAGAGCAGAAGGGCCGAAGAGAAGUUACCUGUAGCAACGUGCAGCUUGGAAA